CCGACACGUUUACUUUGAACAAAUUAGAGUGCUCAAAGCAGGCUCAAAUCUGGCGGGGCGGCUUCACGGCCGUCUCGUCAAAAGGCCCUGAAUACUGGUCGCAUGGAUAAUGGAACAAGACCUCGGUCCCGCGCAUCUCCGCCCUUCGCGGGCGCGCGAAAUCGCCCUCCGGGGCGUUUCCGUGCGCGGGCCGCCGGGCCGCGGGCGCCAGUCGCCCGCGCGUCCCGCCGGGCCGGUUUUCGGGACCGGAGGUAAUGAUCAACAGAGACGGGCGGGGGCAUUCGUACCGAGACGUUAGAGGUGAAAUUCUUGGAUCGUCUCGAGACGAACUGACGCGAAAGCAUUUGCCAAGUACGUUCUCGUAUGAUCAAGAACGAAAGUUAGAGGUUCGAAGGCGAUCAGAUACCGCCCUAGUUCUAACUGUAAACGAUGCCAGCUAGCGAUCCGCCGGCGUUUCAUUAACGACCCGGCGGGCAGCUUCCGGGAAACCGAAGCUUUUCGGUUCCGGGGGAAGUAUGAUUGCAAAGUUGAAACUUAAAGGAAUUGACGGAA
rnacentral:rRNA from 16 species